CUUUAUUGGAGAGUUUGAUCCUGGCUCAGGACGAACGCUGGCGGCAUGCCUAAUACAUGCAAGUCGAGCGGACUUGAAGAGAAGCUUGCUUCUCUGA
rnacentral:rRNA from 3 species